GGACCAAUCGGAGAUAGCUGAUACUGCAGCUUGGACAUAGGCGGCGGUAAAGGCGAAAGAUAAAUUAUGUCCUGCACUCGGAGAAAGUCUUUCGGAAAUGUUUUCGGACGUGGGUUCGACUCCCACCGCCUCCAUAA
rnacentral:tmRNA from 1 species